ACGGACGCUGGCGGCGUGCUUAACACAUGCACGUCGAACGGAAAGGCCCUGCUUUUGUGGGGUGCUCGAGUGGCGAACGGGUGAGUAACACGUGAGUAACCUGCCCUUGACUUUGGGAUAACUUCAGGAAACUGGGGCUAAUACCGGAUAGGAGCUCCUGCUGCAUGGUGGGGGUUGGAAAGUUUCGGCGGUUGGGGAUGGACUCGCGGCUUAUCAGCUUGUUGGUGGGGUAGUGGCUUACCAAGGCUUUGACGGGUAGCCGGCCUGAGAGGGUGACCGGCCACAUUGGGACUGAGAUACGGCCCAGACUCCUACGGGAGGCAGCAGUGGGGAAUAUUGCACAAUGGGCGGAAGCCUGAUGCAGCAACGCCGCGUGCGGGAUGACGGCCUUCGGGUUGUAAACCGCUUUCGCCUGUGACGAAGCGUGAGUGACGGUAAUGGGUAAAGAAGCACCGGCUAACUACGUG
rnacentral:rRNA from 1 species